rnacentral:lncRNA from 1 species
AUUUAUUAAAAAUCGGAGAAUAUGGACUAUUCUGUUUUGAGGGCCGAUUUUUGAGAACAUUGAGGUUGAGCUUAGGAGAUGUUUAAAUUGAGAUAUUUGAGGACAUUAGAGUUUAUGAUUGAGACUCGAUUAUAUCUUAUGAGAAAUUUAUUGAUGAUUUUAGGUUGAUGAUAUCAGUAUGCAUUUGUUACAUGAGGAUGCCAAGAGGUAAGUAAACUAGACUUUAAAACGAAUCACAAUAAACAAUAUAUAUGUUUGAC